rnacentral:rRNA from 1 species
UACGAAGGGGGCUAGCGUUGCUCGGAAUUACUGGGCGUAAAGGGCGCGUAGGCGGUCAGUUAAGUCAGUGGUGAAAGCCCAGGGCUCAACCCUGGAAUUGCCUUUGAUACUGAUUGUCUUGAGUAUGGGAGAGGUGUGCGGAACUCCGAGUGUAGAGGUGAAAUUCGUAGAUAUUCGGAGGAACACCAGUGGCGAAGGCGGCACACUGGCCCAUUACUGACGCUGAGGCUCGAAAGCGUGGGGAGCGAACAGG